rnacentral:rRNA from 1 species
UACAGAGGUCCCAAGCGUUGUUCGGAUUCAUUGGGCGUAAAGGGUGCGUAGGCGGCGCGGUAAGUCGGGUGUGAAAUCUCGGGGCUUAACUCCGAAACUGCAUUCGAUACUGCCGUGCUUGAGGACUGGAGAGGAGACUGGAAUUCACGGUGUAGCAGUGAAAUGCGUAGAGAUCGUGAGGAAGACCAGUGGCGAAGCGGAUCUCUGGACAGUUCCUGACGCUGAGGCGACGAAGGCCAGGGGAGCAAACGGG